UAUAUUCGUUCCGUCGUAAUAUAACAAAAUUCGCGUCGGGAGUGUCGUUUGAAGUGUCGCGUCGGGAGUGUCGUUUAAAGUGUCGCGUCGGGAGCGUCGUUUAAAGUGUCGCGCGAUUUUCGCAUUCGGAUACGCGCGCGAGCAAUGCGUGCGCCGCGUGUGAAUAUCUCGAGGAAUUGUUGAGAGGAGGAGACAGUCUAUCGAGCGACAGCAAGUUAACAACGGUACGGUCCGCGAGCUCGUAAGAAGAAUAUUCUCCGAUCCACACCCCUUGGCCUUCCCACCUGCCGUCAUCCCACGCGAAGCUCCUGUGAGAUAUCAAGCGCGUACCGCGAUGCAUCACCCGAUCAGGUGUAACCGCCCUAAACGUGGACAGCGCUCGCGUAACAAAGACAUUUGCCUGCGGAAUGAUCGAGGUCGCGGGAUCAUCAUCGAUGCGGUAAAUCAUCGGCAUCGAAGCGUUGCUGAAUGGAGAUUCCGAUGGCGGAAAAAAGCGCCAGACAAACGCUGUUAAUUAAUCCGUGCCGGUGCUACAUACUGGGAAUAUAUUAAACAGAGGAAAUCUUUUGGCUGUCAAAUCAUCUUGAUGUUAUCGUUCCUGCUACAAAAGGAUGGAUCUUCUUUGGUUUCUUCAUCCAUAAUUUCGCUGGUUUCCAGAAUUUCACAGCCGCUGUGGUUAACUAAUGCGACUACGCGUAUGCAAUGGUUCACCGCAUCGGGGGAGGAACAAAUGGUCUAUAUCGGUGCGGCGUGCUCGCGAACAGUGGUUGGUAGGCAUCAUUAAUUAUAUGCGAGUUAUUGGCACUAUCAACGAUAGCGUUUCAAAGACCGGACGCACUACAUACGCGCACUGUCCACUUCCUGUGGGCGGAAUAGAAUGUGAUCGAAGACAUAAUUUGGUUGUAAUUUGUUGUUUGAAGUGGAAAAUCUAUGUCGUUUUGAUGAAAUUUCUUUUAAUAUAACGUAUGCGAUAGACAUAUUUUUUUUUGUGGCUUGGGUUUGAAAAAUUCGUUAAAUGCAUAAGUUUUCUCGCUAUUUUUAACGGUUUUUAAAAAUGCAUGCGGUAAUAACGUAGAUAUACCAUAUAAUGAUGGUUUCUCAUUUUAACAUAUUUAUAAAUAUCGUACGCAUAUAUCUUUCCCCUAACUUUAUUGCAAAUAUAAAUUCUAAAAAUAUAAAUUAUUACUUAUAUAUUAUACGUACGCUUUUACUAAAUAUAUAUUCUGCUAUUUUUUCAAAUGAACAAGCACUUUAUGGGCAACUAAGUUUCUGCAGUUCUAGAUAAAAGCCUAUGCUAUGCUGUUGCAAAAUUAUCUGAUUAUCCAUAAAACCGCCCACCUUUCAUUACGUAUUUCUCUAACGCAUGAAAAUAUCACAUAAUAAAAUGUGCAUCGAUAAAUGUAUAACAUUUUUAUUUAAUGUAGACAACGGUUUAUUUUCUCUACACUUUAAUUGUUUUACUUACAAUCGAGGUAACAAUCCGACGUUAGAUUAUUGCCAGUGAUUACUGGUAACACUAAAAACAUAAUUCAAUUUCAUUGAAUGACAGAUGCGUGAUAUCGUAGUCAGGCAAGUUUUUAUGUAUAUAUAGCAUAUGGCAGGAUUUUAUGUUUCACUUGUGUCGAAGCAAUGCACACUAUAUAUUCUCCAAUGUAAGAAAUAUCUCAUAUCUUUCCGUAUUGACCUCUUGGUCAAAACCUUAUAGCAACCGAUUUAACAGUUUCGUGGUAUCGACGCGAUCACCUAGCCUAGCUCUAAGUCGCGUUGCUGGACUCGGUGUAAUUGCCCGGCAAAAUCUGCGGUCUUGUGGGAUGUCCAUCGGUUGUGCACCGAGCGAUAUAGGCGCGGCGUAUGGAACGGUGCGCCGAGUUCGUUCACGCAAACCUUCAGCCGAUCUCCACACGCGGCCGACCAACAAGACUACCGCGCAAAAAAAUCUCACCGUGUGUGCACGACCGGACAGCGUACGCUCGCGUGCAUCGGUGCAAGGCGCAUCCCUCUGUGUGUGUUCAGUCUUUCGUCCUGCUCUGAUCGUGGUCGCGGGACGAAUGCACCGCGAGUUUCCGUCCUCGUCUCGCGGAUCCCCUCCACUUCAUCCCUCAUCGCUCGGUGCGAUUCCGCGCAUUGCCAGCGUUAAGGCUGAUUCCCUCCACCCCAUCCACGUGUCGGCGAUAGUGGGGUAAGCUUGGGUGCGUAGGCGGUGUCAAGCCUAGCCACGCCCAAUCCCGUUGCCCCUUUACCAGCCCGGCGCGCUCGUCAAAUGUUUUUCGUCGCGGAUUAUGACGCGGUCUGCGCGAUUAUGACCACCUCUCUCUUUCUCUCGUCCGCGCCGUCGUUUUCUCUCUAUCUUACGUUACUUCCACCCCCCUCCCCCAGACCCGCGUACCCCGGCGCUUUCCGCUCGGUGGCUGGAUGUUUUUUUCUUUCUCUUUCGCUCUCUCUUUUUCUGUCUCGCACCGCUAUCUUCUCCCUGCCGACGAGGACAAACUUUGCUCUUGCCUCAGCCGCCUCGCUACGACGUCGUCUCGGACACGCAAGAGACGACUAAGCUCGUUCUCUUUCUCACUGUGGCUUUCUCGCGAUAUACGUAUCCGUAGAAUUUUCGGAUUCUCUUUCUCUCACCCGCUGCUUUAUAUUUCUUCCCUUAUUUCGUUUCCUUUACGUUCCACUGCCUCUAUCGGAUAGCUAACGUAUAGUGGCAUCGAUCGCCGCCGAUACGUUUUCCUCGAAUCGGCCGAGGAGAGAGAGAAAGAGAGAGAGAGAGAGAGAGAGAGAGAGAAAAAAAUAAUAGAAUGAACUGUCCGCGGCGAGUAUCCGACAAUAUA
rnacentral:lncRNA from 1 species